UUAUAUAGCAAUAGAUAAUGAAUAUGUUGUGCAAGAAAAUGAAAGGCAAAGGAAUUAUUCCAAAUUAAAAGAGACUAAAAGAACACGGCAACCAAAGGCUGCGUUCCCACUGAUAAUCCCAUUAGGUCACCCUGAUUGGUCCCUGAAUCUCACCUGCAAGCCACCUGAAGCAAUCAUUUUGAGAGUGAAUACAGGCAGUUCUCACACACACUUGAAUGAUGUAUGAUGAGAAAUGAUGGGAGACUGGUUUGCCGUACCUUCUCACUCCACGUGUCCAGCUACACCUACCACACAAGGAGCGGAAGAGGCUCUUAGGCACCUGACUAGCUUUCAGAGAAGAGGGUACAUCACUGAGGUGGCAGGAGAAACGCUGAAGUCAUUUCAGCCGUGGAAUGGACCAAAGAUGCUGGAUACAAAAUUUGACAGGUGC